rnacentral:rRNA from 1 species
UACGGGGGGGGCAAGCGUUGUUCGGAAUUACUGGGCGUAAAGGGCUCGUAGGCGGCCAACUAAGUCCGACGUGAAAUCCCCAGGCUUAACCUGGGAACUGCGUCGGAUACUGGAUGGCUUGAAUCCGGGAGAGGGAUGCGGAAUUCCAGGUGUAGCGGUGAAAUGCGUAGAUAUCUGGAGGAACACCGGUGGCGAAGGCGGAUCUCUGGGCCUUACCUGACGCUGAGGCGCGAAAGCUAGGGGAGCGAACAGG